rnacentral:rRNA from 1 species
CAGUAGCCGCGGGAAUACAGAGGGUGCAAGCGUUAAUCGGAAUUACUGGGCGUAAAGCGCGCGUAGGUGGUUUGUUAAGUUGGAUGUGAAAUCCCCGGGCUCAACCUGGGAACUGCAUUCAAAACUGACUGACUAGAGUAUGGUAGAGGGUGGUGGAAUUUCCUGUGUAGCGGUGAAAUGCGUAGAUAUAGGAAGGAACACCAGUGGCGAAGGCGACCACCUGGACUAAUACUGACACUGAGGUGCGAAAGCGUGGGGAGCAAACAGGAUUAGAGACCCGCGUAGUCCCUGUCUCUUAUAC